ACAUCGAAGACUUCAGUUCCAGUACAUCGCAUCACCUGAAUACGUAGGACUAGACAGAGUGAGUUCGUUCCAAUUUCCUUCCAUUUCCCUUCUAUACCUAUCUUUCUUGGAAUUAAGAAUAGCUCUAUACGUAUCAGGCACAAAUAAUUCAUUUUCAUACAAAUCAAUUGCUAAAUACAUUUAAAACCAUAAUUCAUAUCGAUAAAAUAGCUUAGCUUCAUAUAACUUCGCAGUUAAAAUCUUAUUACAUAUUAAAAAGCCGUCUCCAUCGCUUAUUAUCAAUCGCCUCAGUAACAUAAAAUUGCUAAAUCAUCACAUUCCGCGCGCAGCUGCUUAUCUACUCCGCUUCUUUUGUUCUCGUCAGUUGCAUUUUAACUCGUUAGUGAUCACACAUAUUAGGUAAUUGCAUUUUUAAAUUUACGUCUUAAUCAAUAUGGCUGACACGUUAAAGGAGUUAGUUAGGAAACGUGGCAGUUUGAAAGCUAAAUUAACUUUGUUUAACACAUACAUUAAUGUGGCUAAAACGUGUGAACAAUUAAAUGGAGAUUGAAGCGUUAACUGAGAAACCCGACGAAGCAUAUGCGGAGCGGGAGCAGUUUGAAAGCCAGUUCUUUGUGUUGGUUUCGACUGCUCGACUUCUUUUGACUCCUACGGUGCAGUCGAGCGGCGGUCGGCCCGGGCCCGGGUCCGCGGCUUCCACGUCGUGCGGCGCCGGCCGGCAGGACUUCGUUCGUCUGCCCAAGAUUGAUCUGCCUCACUUCGAUGGGAACUAUCAGCAUUGGCUCGGCUUUAGAGAUACGUAUAUUUCACUUAUUCAUAAUAAUCCCGCUAUCAAUGACAUAAGCAAAUUUCACUAUCUUCGUGCAUCUUUAAAAAGCAGUGCCGCCCUUGUGAUUCAAAGUCUUGAUUUUAGCAGUGAUAACUAUCAUAAAGCGUGGCAGUUAGUUUCUGAGCGGUAUGAUAACCCGCGCCUUUUAAUUAACAAUCAUAUCCAGGCCCUGUUUAACCUUGAACCGAUGCAACACGAAUCGAGCUCUUUAUUACGUAACAUGGUGGACGUAACUAAUAAAAAUUUGCGUGCGCUUGGCACCUUAGGGGAGCCCACCGACCAUUGGGACACCUUAGUUAUCUAUAUAAUGUCUAAGAAGUUAGAUCUAGUAACUAAGCGUGAGUGGGAAGAGCACAGAAACCUUUUAACAGGCUCGCCGACGUUGCAGCAAUAUAUUACAUUUCUAAAUAACAGGGCUGACUUACUCGAAUCUCUUGGUAAUAAUAACGUCAAUAAUAGCGGUUACAAGACAUCGAAACAUAAAUUGCAUUCACAUAACGAGCCACAAAAAACACAUAAUUAUCUUACAGCUACAAUAAACAAUGCUUAUCGCAAACCUAUUGUUUGCCCUUAUUGUAAACAAGAUCAUUUCUUAUUUAAUUGUGAAUCUUUUCGUAAAUUAGACAUUGAUAAUAGGAUAAGAAAUGUAAACGGUUACUCAGUAUGUAAGAAUUGUCUUAGGCCGGGACACUUAGAAAAGCAAUGUGUGUUAUCUCAUUGCAAAUACUGCAAACUUAAACAUAACACUCUUUUACAUAAACAUGUUGACAAAGAGUCUUCUAGCAGUGACGUUCCGGUGCCAGAUGUCCAUUUUAGCGGCAACAUUCAAACUAAAGUGUUUAGCCCUACUAAGACUUCCGGACUACUGUCCACAGCGUUGGUGCACGUGAGUGACGCGAAUGGAGUGCUUCGUGAGGCGCGUCUACUCCUGGACAACGGGUCUGCCACCAACUUCGUGACGCAGGAUCUGUGCGGGCAGCUUGGGCUAGCGACACGCAGCGUGGGAGCCACGAUCACAGGUAUCAAUGAGCAACUUUCACAUUGUCCGGAGUCUUGUGACAUUACAAUUCAUUCACUUCAUAGUAACUAUACGACGACCGUAAACUGCUACGUUGCCAACGUAAUAAAUACAUCUAUGCCGCCUUGUCGCAUAGAUCUUACCAACAUACCUAUUCCUGCCGACAUCACAUUGGCAGACCCAUCAUUUUAUGAGCCUUCCGCUAUCGAUAUUUUAGUCGGGGCGGAAAUAUUUUGGGACGUCUUAGGUACCGCGCGUAUUAAGUUAGGUAAAAAUAAACCUCAAUUACGCGAAUCAUCUUUAGGUUGGCUCGUGUGUGGCUCCAUACCUGCCUACAACAAAAACACAAACGAAUCUUAUUUUUGUUCGUUCAUCACACAUAAUGAUGACACUAAUCUCACUCGUUUUUGGGAAUUAGACUCGGUGUCUUCUACACAUUGCAUGUCUUAUGAAGAGCAAGCGUGCGAAAAAUGUUUUUUAGAAAAUACCAUUCGCGAUCAAGAUGGCCGCUUCGUUGUGACAUUAUCUUUAAAAGAGUCACCGGAAGUACUUGGCGACUCAUAUCAAAUGGCCAAGCGCCGUUUCUUGGUAUUGGAGAAACGGCUCGCACGCGACGCUGCCUUCAAAACCUUAUAUUUUGAUUUUAUUCGCGAGUACAUCGACUUAGGUCAUAUGAGCGAAAAUCAAUCAUCAUCAUCAUCAUCUGCUGAGCUCCCA